UACAGAGGUCUCAAGCGUUGUUCGGAUUCAUUGGGCGUAAAGGGUGUGUAGGUGGCGCGUAAGUCGGGUGUGAAAUUCGUGCUUAACUCCGAAACUGCAUUCGAUACUGGCGUGCUUGAGGACUGGAGAGGAGACUGGAAUUUACGGUGUAGCGGUGAAAUGCGUAGAUAUCGUAAGGAAGACCAGUGGCGAAGGCGGGUCUCUGGACAGUUCCUGACGCUGAGGCACGAAGGUCAGGGGGAGCAAAACGGG
rnacentral:rRNA from 1 species